rnacentral:rRNA from 1 species
AGUGAACGCUGGCGGUAGGCCUAACACAUGCAAGUCGAACGGCAGCACAGUAAGAGCUUGCUCUUACGGGUGGCGAGUGGCGGACGGGUGAGGAAUACAUCGGAAUCUACUUUUUCGUGGGGGAUAACGUAGGGAAACUUACGCUAAUACCGCAUACUACCUACGGGUGAAAGCAUGGGAUCUUCGGACCUUGCGCGAUUGAAUGAGCCGAUGUCGGAUUAGCUAGUUGGCGGGGUAAAGGCCCACCAAGGCGACGAUCCGUAGCUGGUCUGAGAGGAUGAUCAGCCACACUGGAACUGAGACACGGUCCAGACUCCUACGGGAGGCAGCAGUGGGGAAUAUUGGACAAUGGGCGCAAGCCUGAUCCAGCCAUACCGCGUGGGUGAAGAAGGCCUUCGGGUUGUAAAGCCCUUUUGUUGGGAAAGAAAAGCAGCAGGUUAAUACCCCGCUGUUCUGACGGUACCCAAAGAAUAAGCACCGGCUAACUUCGUG